CAGGAUGCCCAGUUAAAUUUGAAUUUCAGAUAAACACCGAAUAGUUUUUAAUGGAAGUAUUUUCCAUGUAAUAUUUGGGACAUACUUAUUCUAAAAUAGUACUUGGUGUUUAUCUGAAAUUCAAAUUUAACAGGGUGUCCUAUA
rnacentral:miRNA from 1 species